UCUAGUGUUCCUAUAGCGUAA
rnacentral:piRNA from 1 species